rnacentral:rRNA from 1 species
GAUCUGGUUCAGGAUGAACGCUGGCGGCGUGCUUAACACAUGCAAGUCGAGCGAAGCAAUUUAAGUGAAGUUUUCGGAUGGAUCUUAAAUUGACUGAGCGGCGGACGGGUGAGUAACGCGUGGAUAACCUGCCUCACACAGGGGGAUAACAGUUAGAAAUGACUGCUAAUACCGCAUAAGCGCACGGUACUGCAUGGUACAGUGUGAAAAACUCCGGUGGUGUGAGAUGGAUCCGCG